rnacentral:rRNA from 1 species
GACGAACGCUGGCGGCGUGCUUAAUACAUGCAAGUCGAACGCAGUGGGGACGGGUGCGUAACACGUGGGUAACCUCCCAUCAGAGGGGAGAACACUUGGAAACAGGUGCUAAACCGAUACGGAUUGAUGGACCCGCGGGGCAAUAGCUAGUUGGUGAGGUAACGGCUCACCAAGGCCACGAUGCAUAGCUGACCGGAGAGGGUGAUAAGCCACACUGGGACUGAGACACGGCCCAGACUCCUACGGGAGGCAGCAGUAGGGAAUCUUGGGCAAUGGACGAAAGUCUGACCGAGCAACGCCGCGUGAGUGAAGAAGGUUUUCGGAUCGUAAAACUCUUUGGGUAGGGAAGCGGUAUCUACCCAGAAAGCCACGGCUAACUACGUGCCAGCAGCCGCGGUAAUAC